CCUACGGGUGGCAGCAGUGGGGAAUAUUGGGCAAUGGGCGCAAGCCUGACCCAGCAACGCCGCGUGAAGGAAGAAGGCUUUCGGGUUGUAAACUUCUUUUGUCAGGGACGAAGCAAGUGACGGUACCUGACGAAUAAGCCACGGCUAACUACGUUCCAGCAGCCGCGGUAAUACGUAGGGGGCAAGCGUUGUCCGGAUUUACUGGGUGUAAAGGGCGUGUAGGCGGUACUGCAAGUCAGAUGUGAAAACCACGGGCUCAACCUGUGGCCUGCAUUUGAAACUGUAGUUCUUGAGUACUGGAGAGGCAGACGGAAUUCCUAGUGUAGCAGUGAAAUGCGUAGAUAUUGGGAGGAACACCAGUGGCGAAGGCGGUCUGCUGGACAGCAACUGACGCUGAGGCGCGAAGGCGUGGGGAGCAAACAGGAUUAGAUACCCUAGUAGUC
rnacentral:rRNA from 1 species